UACAGAGGGGCAAGCGUUGUUCGGAAUUACUGGGCGUAAAGGGCGCGUAGGCGGCCUUCUAAGUCGAACGUGAAAUCCCCGGGCUCAACCCGGGAACUGCGUCCGAUACUGGAAGGCUUGAAUCCGGGAGAGGGAUGCGGAAUUCCAGGUGUAGCGGUGAAAUGCGUAGAUAUCUGGAGGAACACCGGUGGCGAAGGCGGCAUCCUGGACCGGUAUUGACGCUGAGGCGCGAAAGCCAGGGGAGCAA
rnacentral:rRNA from 1 species